rnacentral:rRNA from 1 species
GACAUAGGGGGCAAGCGUUGUUCGGAAUUACUGGGCGUAAAGGGAGCGUAGGCGGGAGAUUAAGUUAAGAGUGAAAGCCUUGGGCUCAACCCAAGAAAUGCUCUUAAUACUGGUUUUCUAGAGUGUGGGAGAGGUAAGUGGAAUUCCUAGUGUAGCGGUAGAAUGCGUAGAGAUUAGGAGGAACACCAGUGGCGAAAGCGGCUCUCUGGUCUGUAACUGACGCUGAGGUUCGAAAGCGUGGGUAGCAAACAGG